UACAGAGGUCUCAAGCGUUGUUCGGAUUCAUUGGGCGUAAAGAGCUCGUAGGCGGUUCGGUAAGUCAGAUGUAAAAACUCCAGGCUCAACCUGGAGAGGCCAUCUGAUACUGCCGUGACUAGAGUCCGGUAGAGGAGCACGGAAUUCCUGGUGUAGCGGUGAAAUGCGCAGAUAUCAGGAGGAACACCAGCGGCGAAGGCGGUGCUCUGGGCCGGAACUGACGCUGAGGAGCGAAAGCGUGGGGAGCGAACAGG
rnacentral:rRNA from 1 species